UCCGGAGCUAAACUCCCAACCCCAAUGUGAACGUUACCAAUCUGUUGCCUCGGCGGGAUUCUCUUGCCCCGGGCGCGUCGCAGCCCCGGAUCCCAUGGCGCCCGCCGGAGGACCAACUCCAAACUCUUUUUUCUCUCCGUCGCGGCUCCCGUCGCGGCUCUGUUUCAUUUUUGCUCUGAGCCUUUCUCGGCGACCCUAGCGGGCGUCUCGAAAAUGAAUCAAAACUUUCAACAACGGAUCUCUUGGUUCUGGCAUCGAUGAAGAACGCAGCGAAAUGCGAUAAGUAAUGUGAAUUGCAGAAUUCAGUGAAUCAUCGAAUCUUUGAACGCACAUUGCGCCCGCCAGUAUUCUGGCGGGCAUGCCUGUCCGAGCGUCAUUUCAACCCUCGAACCCCUCCGGGGGGUCGGCGUUGGGGAUCGGCCCCUCACCGGGCCGCCCCCGAAAUACAGUGGCGGUCUCGCCGCAGCCUCUCCUGCGCAGUAGUUUGCACACUCGCACCGGGAGCGCGGCGCGGCCACAGCCGUAAAACACCCCAAACUUCUGAAAUGUUGACCUCGGAUCAGGUAGGAAUACCCGCUGAACUUAAGCAUAUCAAUAAGGGGGAGGAA
rnacentral:rRNA from 1 species